AAUAAUGAGUGCAUACACAAGAUGAAGAGAGUCUGCCAUUGUAAUGGUGGCUCCCUAAGUGUGUGGAUAAGCAAUCCAAACAAUGGAUAUGUGUCACCAGAUGAACUCCACCUAAUGAUAUGAUUUGUCAUAUAAUGAUCUGUGAUUGAUGUUAUAGGGAUAUCCUGCCCGCCACCUUGAAUAAAUAAAUCUGACAUUAGGCUCUUAGCGUAA